AUUGAACGCUGGCGGCAGGCCUAACACAUGCAAGUCGAGCGGAUGAAGGGAGCUUGCUCCUGGAUUCAGCGGCGGACGGGUGAGUAAUGCCUAGGGAUCUGCCUGGUAGUGGGGGAUAACGUCCGGAAACGGGCGCUAAUACCGCAUACGUCCUGAGGGAGAAAGUGGGGGAUCUUCGGACCUCACGCUAUCAGAUGAGCCUAGGUCGGAUUAGCUAGUUGGUGGGGUAAAGGCCUACCAAGGCGACGAUCCGUAACUGGUCUGAGAGGAUGAUCAGUCACACUGGAACUGAGGCACGGUCCAGACUCCUACGGGAGGCAGCAGUGGGGAAUAUUGGACAAUGGGCGAAAGCCUGAUCCAGCCAUGCCGCGUGUGUGAAGAAGGUCUUCGGAUUGUAAAGCACUUUAAGUUGGGAGGAAGGGCAGUAAGUUAAUACCUUGCUGUUUUGACGUUACCAACAGAAUAAGCACCGGCUAACUUCGUG
rnacentral:rRNA from 1 species